rnacentral:rRNA from 1 species
CAGUCGCCGCGGUAAUACGUAGGGCGCAAGCGUUAUCCGGAAUUAUUGGGCGUAAAGAGCUCGUAGGCGGUUUGUCGCGUCUGCCGUGAAAGUCCGGGGCUCAACCCCGGAUCUGCGGUGGGUACGGGCAGACUAGAGUGAUGUAGGGGAGACUGGAAUUCCUGGUGUAGCGGCGAAAUGCGCAGAUAUCAGGAGGAACACCGAUGGCGAAGGCAGGUCUCUGGGCAUUAACUGACGCUGAGGAGCGAAAGCAUGGGGAGCGAACAGGAUUAGAUACCCCAGUAGUCCCUGUCUCUUAUAC